GACGAACGCUGGCGGCGUGCCUAAUACAUGCCAGUAGAACGCUGAAGCGAGGAGCUUGCUCUUCUUGGAUGAGUUGCGAACGGGUGAGUAACGCGUAGGUAACCUGCCUUGUAGCGGGGGAUAACUAUUGGAAACGAUAGCUAAUACCGCAUAACAAUGGAUGACACAUGUCAUUUAUUUGAAAGGGGCAAUUGCUCCACUACAAGAUGGACCUGCGUUGUAUUAGCUAGUAGGUGAGGUAAUGGCUCACCUAGGCGACGAUACAUAGCCGACCUGAGAGGGUGAUCGGCCACACUGGGACGGAGACACGGCCCAGACUCCUACGGGAGGCAGCAGUAGGGAAUCUUCGGCAAUGGGGGCAACCCUGACCGAGCAACGCCGCGUGAGUGAAGAAGGUUUUCGGAUCGUAAAGCUCUGUUGUAAGUCAAGAACGGGUGUGAGAGUGGAAAGUUCACACUGUGACGGUAGCUUACCAGAAAGGGACGGCUAACUACGUG
rnacentral:rRNA from 1 species